rnacentral:misc_RNA from 1 species
GAAAUGCGAUAAGUAAUGUGAAUUGCAGAAUUCAGUGAAUCAUCGAAUCUUUGAACGCACAUUGCGCCCGUCAGCAUUCUGGCGGGCAUGCCUGUUCGAGCGUCAUUUCAACCCUCAGGACCCCCCUUUCGCGGGGAGGGACCUGGCGUUGGUGAUCGGCCCGCCCCCCGUGGCGGCGCCGUCCCCGAAAUCUAGUGGCGGUCUCGCUGCAGCCUCCCCUGCGUAGUAGUUACAACCUCGCAUCGGAGCGCGGCGCGGCCACGCCGUAAAACCCCCGACUUUCUGAACGUUGACCUCGGAUCAGGUAGGAAUACCCGCUGAACUUAAGC